GGAACUUGAAAAUGACACAGAGAGAAAUGCAAGUGGCAAUAGGAUCCAGAAACCGAGAGACUCAUGGAAAGGAGGCAACCGGUGGAAGCAGGAGACAGCAGAAGCCAAGCCAAACAGCAAAAGAAGGAAAUUGAAAGGAGCCAGAAGGGGUCAUCUGAGAGAUGUCAAGAGUGGCAGCAGAAACAGACAGGCACCUCCUGUGCCAAUGCCUGCUUUUGAGAGAUCAAGAUCAUGGUAUCUGUAGACUGAGAACAAAGUGUGAGACUCAGAACUAAGUCCAUUCAAGCUCCGCAUUUCUUUGUUAUGUCCCUUUCAUCAGUAAUUUCCA
rnacentral:lncRNA from 1 species